ensembl:snoRNA
UAGGCCCUGAAUCAAGACUAGUGUUUUGCUGUAGCUGUUGGUUUCAAACAGGAUCCAAGAGUGACGUCUUCCUUGUGGGCCUGUUCGCUGCUCAGUAUCCCAGUGUGAGUGGCCAAUUCAGUUGGAAGCAACAUGG